rnacentral:rRNA from 1 species
UACAGAGGGUGCGAGCGUUAAUCGGAAUUACUGGGCGUAAAGCGCACGGAGGUGGCGACGUAAGUCGGGUGUGAAAGCCCCGGGCUCAACCUGGGAAUUGCAUUCGAGACUGCAUUGCUGGAGUACGGAAGAGGAGGGCGGAAUUCCCGGUGUAGCGGUGAAAUGCGUAGAUAUCGGGAGGAACAUCAGUGGCGAACGCGGCCCGCUGGUCCAGUACUGACACUCAAGGGCGAAAGCGUGGGGAGCAACCAGC